AAAUAGGAACCAUAGGGAAGAUCAUUUUUAUUUUUAUUUUUUUCCUUCCUUUUUAUCUUUCUUGGAAGGCUGGAAAGAUAUGCGUUGGCAGAGAACGUUCCAGGCUUCUAUGGCCACGUCCCAAGGCUUCGAUGACCAUUCCUUUCACUGCAGACCAUGAGUGGUUUUGUUGGACAUGUCAAAAAAUAAGGACAUUCCCUCUUCCUGGCGACGGGGUGUAAGCUGCAGCCCCGAGUCCCCCAGAAAGUUGGAGUCUGUGCUCUGCAAAUUACCGGAACGUCGGGAUGCUCCAACUCUGGACCGACCCUUCCUUUCUCACCAGGCCUUAUCUGGAUCCCCAAGGACACUCCAGGCCUUCAGGCAAGUGGCCUCCCAGUGUGUCUGACACGCUUGAAAAUAUGGGAUUCUCAUUUGGAAAUCACUCGAUACCUCUCAUCUGGAUCCAACGACCCAGGAUAGUUCUUUUCCUUUUUUUUUUUUUUAAGAAAAUAAGAAUUGUUUCCCAUUAGGGAUAAAGGUAUUACAUUCUAAAGCAAGGCGUGGUUGAUUUAAAAAAAAAAUGAAGAGUUCGGAGAAGAUACUUAAAACAUGAUUGCAAAAGAAGACAACAGAAUGUCCUUAGGAUUACGUUAGGCGUCAGGACACCGCAGGGUUUUACAGGGACAGUUGCACAAUAUCGCGGUAGCUGGGUUGACAGAGGUGUAGCCGAAGACAUGGUCUUUUCUGAUUCCACCGCGAUGAACGACACCUUGACUUUUCCAUCUUCUGUAAUAAGCUCCGGAGGCCCCGGAGCUCACAUGAUUUUCCUGGAGCAACGCGAUGUUGUUUCCAGGCAGCUUUUGGCGACGUCUGGAGCCGGUUCUGGUCCCCGGCACCCGGGGAGGUGCUACUGGCCCCAGCGGUAGAGGCCAGGGCUGCCGCUAGACACCCUGCGG